UAAUACGGGGGGUGCAAGCGUUAUUCGGAAUCACUGGGCGUAAAGGGCGCGCAGGCGGUUUGGUAAGUCAGAUGUGAAAGCCCGGGGCUCAACCCCGGAAGUGCAUUUGAUACUGCCAAACUUGAGUAUGGGAGAGGGAAGUGGAAUUCCUGGUGUAGAGGUGAAAUUCGUAGAUAUCAGGAGGAACACCGGUGGCGAAGGCGACUUCCUGGACCAAUACUGACGCUGAGGCGCGAAGGCGUGGGGAGCAAACAGGAUUAGAUACCCUGGUAGUCCACGCAGUAAACGGUGAACACUAGGUGUAGCGGGUAUUGACCCCUGCUGUGCCGGAGCUAACGCAUUAAGUGUUCCGCCUGGGAAGUACGGCCGCAAGGUUA
rnacentral:rRNA from 1 species